GGCCCUCUCUCCUAUUCUCUCUCUCUUUGCGGACCUCCCUCUCUCUCUUCGUGGACCUCCCUCUCUCUAUAUUUAGCAGUAGGUCCUUUUUCUAUGUUCAACAAUAGCAAUGGACGUAAUGGCAGCAAUACAACAACAAUUAAAGCCCCUCGGCUUGGGCAUUGUUUCUCUCUCUUUAUCGCUAUUGAAGCCCUCUCAGCCCACACAGAGGGAUGGACACCUCUCUCUCUCUAGCUGUUGUAGCAGUAGUGCAUCCCUCUCUCUCUGUCUAUAUGCAGCCAUUGAAGCCCUUGAGCUUGGGCAUCUCUCUCUUUUUGUAGAAAAACCCUGGCCGGCCAGCCAUCCAACUGUAGCCCACUUCAUCUCUAAAGGUAGAGAGGAAAAAUUCAUAUGGAACAACUUCAAAGGAGGGGCUAUGUUGCUGUUUUUUGUUUUUUUUGAAAAGUUUGUUGUUAAACUAUUGGCAUUAUUGAUGUAGGUUUUAUGCCAUUCACUUCAUUUGGGGUUGUUAGGUGACAUGUAAGGUGAUUGGGUACAAGGAACGAACCAUUAUUUGACAAUGGGCAGGACUACUGAACUUUAUAUAAAUAAUUUUGUUAUUGAAUGGACUACCCCAUUUGGUUGGUAGUUGAUGAAUUGCAUAUAA